UGCAAGUCGAACGGCAGCACGGACUUCGGUCUGGUGGCGAGUGGCGAACGGGUGAGUAAUGUAUCGGAACGUGCCUAGUAGCGGGGGAUAACUACGCGAAAGCGUGGCUAAUACCGCAUACGCCCUACGGGGGAAAGCAGGGGAUCGCAAGACCUUGCACUAUUGGAGCGGCCGAUGUCGGAUUAGCUAGUUGGUGGGGUAACGGCUCACCAAGGCGACGAUCCGUAUCUGGUUUGAAAGGACGACCAGCCCCACUGGGACUGAGACACGGCCCAUACUCCUACGGGAGGCAGCAGUGGGGAAUUUUGGACAAUGGGGGAAACCCUGAUCCAGCCAUCCCGCGUGUGCGAUGAAGGCCUUCGGGUUGUAAAGCACUUUUGGCAGGAAAGAAACGUCCUGGGUUAAUACCCCGUGAAACUGACGGUACCUGCAAAAUAAGCACCGGCUAACUACGUGCCAGCAGCCGCGGUAAUACUUAGGGUGCAAGCGUUAAUCGGAAUUACUGGGCGUAAAGCGUGCGCAGGCGGUUCGGAAAGAAAGAUGUGAAAUCCCAGAGCUUAACUUUGGAACUGCAUUUUUAACUACCGAGCUAUAGUGUGUCANAGGGAGGUGGAAUUCCGCGUGUAGCANUGAAAUGCGUANAUAUGCGGAGGAACACCGAUGGCGAAGGCAGCCUCCUGGGAUGACACUGACGCUCAUGCACGAAAGCGUGGGGGAGCAAACAGGAUUAGAUACCCUGGUAGUCCACGCCCUAAACGAUGUCAACUAGCUGUUGGGGCCUUCGGGCCUUGGUAGCGCAGCUAACGCGUGAAGUUGACCGCCUGGGGAGUACGGUCGCAAGAUUAAAACUCAAAGGAAUUGACGGGGACCCGCACAAGCGGUGGAUGAUGUGGAUUAAUUCGAUGCAACGCGAAAAACCUUACCUACCCUUGACAUGUCUGGAAUUCCGAAGAGAUUUGGAAGUGCUCGCAAGAGAACCGGAACACAGGUGCUGCAUGGCUGUCGUCAGCUCGUGUCGUGAGAUGUUGGGUUAAGUCCCGCAACGAGCGCAACCCUUGUCAUUAGUUGCUACGAAAGGGCACUCUAAUGAGACUGCCGGUGACAAACCGGAGGAAGGUGGGGAUGACGUCAAGUCCUCAUGGCCCUUAUGGGUAGGGCUUCACACGUCAUACAAUGGUCGGGACAGAGGGUCGCCAACCCGCGAGGGGGAGCCAAUCCCAGAAACCCGAUCGUAGUCCGGAUCGCAGUCUGCAACUCGACUGCGUGAAGUCGGAAUCGCUAGUAAUCGCGGAUCAGCAUGUCGCGGUGAAUACGUUCCCGGGUCUUGUACACACCGCCCGUCACACCAUGGGAGUGGGUUUUACCAGAAGUA
rnacentral:rRNA from 1 species